rnacentral:rRNA from 1 species
CAGUAGCCGCGGUAAUACGGAGGGGGCUAGCGUUGUUCGGAAUUACUGGGCGUAAAGCGCACGUAGGCGGCUUUGUAAGUUAGAGGUGAAAGCCUGGGGCUCAACUCCAGAAUUGCCUUUAAGACUGCAUCGCUUGAACGUCGGAGAGGUGAGUGGAAUUCCGAGUGUAGAGGUGAAAUUCGUAGAUAUUCGGAAGAACACCAGUGGCGAAGGCGGCUCACUGGACGACUGUUGACGCUGAGGUGCGAAAGCGUGGGGAGCAAACAGGAUUAGAUACCCCUGUAGUCCCUGUCUCUUAUAC